rnacentral:rRNA from 1 species
UACGGAGGGUGCGAGCGUUGUCCGGAUUCACUGGGCGUAAAGGGCGCGUAGGCGGCCUGAUAAGUAGGGGGUGAAAUCCUGCGGCUUAACCGCAGGGCUGCCUUCUAAACUGUCAGGCUCGAGCACAGUAGAGGCAGGUGGAAUUCCCGGUGUAGCGGUGGAAUGCGUAGAGAUCGGGAAGAACAUCAGUGGCGAAGGCGGCCUGCUGGGCUGUUGCUGACGCUGAGGCGCGACAGCGUGGGGAGCAAACAGG